GUGUGACAUCAGCGGUCAUGGAGAGUCUCCAUCCAGCUGGAUCACUGUCACAGGCAAACCUACAAACACAACCCUUGCCCAUGAACCCUCCUCCCCCCACCUUGUGUCCAGGGUUUCCCUCCACCUGGUGGUGUUCUGUCCAUACUUCAUCUCCACUCUGCUCAUGGUAUCUUUAUAUCGAUGGAGAGCCACAGGAAGUGACCUUAUCCCUGUGGUAACAGCACCACCCACCCAAGCUAGGGAGAGACUGGCUGAAGACUGUGAUGACAUUGUUGGCGUGAUCACUGAGCAUCACUUCUGAGUUCCUGUUUAAUCUAUCAGAUUGUGGUCAUCACAUCUCUGUGAUUGAACAACGUGCGACGCCGCAGAUUUAAACUGGAAUAUUAUGCUUUGAUGAAUAAAUAAAUACAUGAAGAACACAUGGACCAGUCAAAGACUGAACGGUAGUAAUGGAAGUUUAAUGGAUUUAAAGCACUUACAUGAAAUCAUUCUCCUGUCAAAAGAUUCAAACAUUGUGUAAUAAAACAUGUGACGGUGUGAGAAACACCUGCACCUCUGCAAUCUGCUCACAUGUUCCUGUUAAACAGGAAACUGAACGACUACAGUGCCGUGAACAUCUGUUAACCACAGGCUAAAAGACUGGUGGUCCUGCAAGAACACCGCCCACUGCUACCUUUCAUCUGCAAACACACACUGACUGCAGGAUGGGCAUUUAGAAACUCUGGCUCAGUUUAUAUCAGUGAGACAGGCAGUUAAAACUGAACCUGGUGUUGUGUGCUACGAACUUAAAUUAAAUUACAAUCCACGAUUCUGUUCAGACCUUUUCUUAGUUGGUUUCUUUAUGAUUAUAAUCUCAGGUUUUUGUUACCUUUUCCAAUGAAGUUUCUGUUGGUAGUUUAUCUUUAAUUCUUUGAGUUCCAGUUUAUUCUGUCUCCUCUAUAUUCUCCUGUAUUUUAAUGCUGAUCUUGCUCUUUUUGUUCCCUUCUUACAUUGCUUCCUGUUUUACUUUGAUACCCUUUUGUUUCUUGUAUUUGAUUUCACAUCUUUGAUUACCCUUAUUAGCCUUUGUGUACUUAUAGCUUCAGUCUUCCUUUUUCGCUUGUGUCUUACUGUUUCUUCAGUGCCUUUUGGGGUUUGUGUCCUCGACAUCAAAUUUGUUUACUUACCUUUUAAAUGUUCAUUCUGAUGGUUUUUCACACUGUAGAUUGUAGAUCUUCAAAAUGAAGUGUACUGUUUGAGAUUUGAUGUUCUGUUUGUAACCCUCACAAGGUUAUCCACUGCUGCUCAUUACAUGUUUUUCAUGGAUGUGUGGUUAAGUAAUGAGUUCCCAAACAAUGUGGCAGAGAGGUGGUUUGUGCUUCUACAUUAAAUCCUGGUGCACAUGUCUGACAGUGUACGCACUUACUGCUCUGAUGUAGAUAGAUAAUUGUGUUGUUGAUUAUCCAGUGCAGACCUUCUGUAGUUUAUGUAACACCAGAUGAAAAUGCUGAAACAGCCAUGAAAGACUUCACUGACGCCAUCAGCAAACUGCAAAGACUCUAUCCAGAGGCCUUUGCUCUUGUCGGGUUUUAAUUACUGCAGUGUUUGAUCUAUGCAUCUAUCAGAAUGUUUGUUGUACAAACAGAGGACAUAAAAUUUUAUUCUAUCACACUGCACUUGUACUCUGUAGUUUGCACUAAAAACUGACCAUCAGGUCGCAGCAAACAUUAAAAACACAUGUAUAGAUUUCAGUUUCUAAUGAUUUAUGGUGUAGGCACCUGUCAGUCACAACUACUCAUGCUGUCCUCGGUGCACGCCUUCGUUUCUUCCUCUGUGAAAUUUUUGGGUGUCAUCCUCGACAGUACUCUGUCUUUCAAUUCACACAUUAAUAAUGCCACUCGUUCUGCAUAUUUUCAAUUGUGCAACAUUAAUCAGCUCCGUCCUUUUCUCACUCCACAUGCCACUGCCAUUCUUGUUCAUAGCCUUGUUACUUCCCGGAUCGAUUACUGUCAUUCACUUAUUUUUUGGUCUUACUCAAAAAUCCAUCCACAAGCUCCAAGGCGUCCAGAACUCUGCUGCUCGUAUCAUCACCAGGACUCCUUCUAUCCACCACAUCAAUACUGUCCUGCAGCAGCUUCAUUGGCUCCUGGUCAAAUAUUGUAUCAAUCUCAAAAUACUCUUGUACACAUUUAAGGCUAUUCAUCAUCUCUCUCCUCCAUAUCUCUCUGAUCUGGUUCAGAUCACCGCCCCAUCUCGGUGUCUUAGAUCCUCUUCUUCCCUUUCUCUCUCUGUCCCCUCUACCCGUCUUGCCACCAAGGGGAUCAUAGCUCAAUAGUUGGCAGUUCGUCUUAUAAUCAGAAGGUUGCCGGUUCGAGCCCCGGCUUGGACAGUCUCGGUCGUUGUGUCCUUGGCCAAGACACUUCACCUGUUGCCUACUGGUGGUGGUCAGAGGGCCCGGUGGCGCCAGUGUCCGACGGAAAAAUUAGGAGGACUUGGAGAGUGUUCAUCUGUGACAGGAGGCUGUAGACAGUGGAGUGAUUAUAGGAAGCAUUAAGCUUUCACAUGAAUCAGAGGGGGGGCAGGAAGUAGGUGGUUAAACAGAAAGUAAAACAUUAGGCUUGUGACAUACAGUUUAGAUGAUGUCACUUCUCUUGGGGAUUUUACAGGAAUUCGAGCUGCUUCUGAGAAAAGGUCAGAGCAAUGUAACUGCACUGAGUGAAGAUCAGGAUGGUUGUGUUUGUUAUUCAUUGUGAAGUUUUCACAGUGAAAUGUAAUUGUUUCACAAAGCAGUGAUUGUGUAUUCAGGUUGAUUCCACAUGUAAGAUUCACCAAAGAAGAAAGAUUUCACAUCAUCUAGCC